rnacentral:rRNA from 1 species
GACGAACGCUGGCGGCGUGCUUAACACAUGCAAGUCGAACGGAAGGCCCUGCUUUUGUGGGGUGCUCGAGUGGCGAGCGGGUGAGUAACACGUGAGUAACCUGCCCUUGACUUUGGGAUAACUUCAGGAAACUGGGGCUAAUACCGGAUAGGAGCUCCUGCUGCAUGGUGGGGGUUGGAAAGUUUCGGCGGUUGGGGAUGGACUCGCGGCUUAUCAGCUUGUUGGUGGGGUAGUGGCUUACCAAGGCUUUGACGGGGAGCCGGCCUGAGAGGGGGACCGGCCACAUUGGGACUGAGAUACGGCCCAGACUCCUACGGGAGGCAGCAGUGGGGAAUAUUGCACAAUGGGCGGAAGCCUGAUGCAGCAACGCCGCGUGCGGGAUGACGGCCUUCGGGUUGUAAACCGCUUUCGCCUGUGACGAAGCGUGAGUGACGGUAAUGGGUAAAGAAGCACCGGCUAACUACGUG